rfam:Canis lupus familiaris chromosome 17, whole genome shotgun sequence.
GGGAGCGCAGGAUCCUGGGCUGUGCCCCCCCGCGCCCUGGGCUCUGGGGCCUGCGCCGCUGGAAUCGCGCUCCCGGGUGGGCUCCC